ACGAACGCUGGCGGCGUGCCUAAUACAUGCAAGUAGAACGCUGAAGAGAGGAGCUUGCUCUUCUUGGAUGAGUUGCGAACGGGUGAGUAACGCGUAGGUAACCUGCCUUGUAGCGGGGGAUAACUAUUGGAAACGAUAGCUAAUACCGCAUAACAAUGGAUGACACAUGUCAUUUAUUUGAAAGGGGCAAUUGUUCCACUACAAGAUGGACCUGCGUUGUAUUAGCUAGUAGGUGAGGUAAUGGCUCACCUAGGCGACGAUACAUAGCCGACCUGAGAGGGUGAUCGGCCACACUGGGACUGAGACACGGCCCAGACUCCUACGGGAGGCAGCAGUAGGGAAUCUUCGGCAAUGGGGGCAACCCUGACCGAGCAACGCCGCGGGAGUGAAGAAGGUUUUCGGAUCGUAAAGCUCUGUUGUAAGUCAAGAACGGGUGUGAGAGUGGAAAGUUCACACUGUGACGGUAGCUUACCAGAAAGGGACGGCUAACUACGUG
rnacentral:rRNA from 1 species